UACGAAGGGGGCUAGCGUUGCUCGGAAUCAUUGGGCGUAAAGCGCGUGUAGGCGGUCCGGUAAGUCCGCUGUAAAAGUCGGGGGCUCAACCCUCGGAUGCCGGUGGAUACUGUCGGGCUUGAGUACGGAAGAGGCGAGUGGAAUUCCUGGUGUAGCGGUGAAAUGCGCAGAUAUCAGGAGGAACACCCAUGGCGAAGGCAGCUCGCUGGGACGUUACUGACGCUGAGACGCGAAAGCGUGGGGAGCAAACAGG
rnacentral:rRNA from 1 species